rnacentral:rRNA from 1 species
CACGAGAGAACUUGCCACUUAGUUUUUGUUAAAUCAAAAUAACCAAAGAUUGUAUCGCUAAGUGAUAGGCUCUUGUAGGAUUAGGUAGUUGGUGGGGUAAAGGCCUACCAAGCCCACGAUCCUUAGCUGGUCUGAGAGGACGAACAGCCACACUGGGACUGAGACACGGCCCAGACUCUUUUAGAGGCAGCAGUACGGAAUAUUGGACAAUGAGCGAAAGCUUGAUCCAGCAAUACCACGUGGGUGAUGAAAGUUUUUCAACUGUAAAACCCUUUCAGUAGAGAUGAUGAUGACGGUAUC